rnacentral:rRNA from 1 species
CCUACGGGAGGCAGCAGUGAGGAAUAUUGGACAAUGGGCGCAAGCCUGAUCCAGCCAUGCCGCGUGCAGGAAGGAGCAUCUAUGGUGUGUAAACUGCUUUUGUACAGGAAGAAACACUCCCUCGUGAGGGAGUUUGACGGUACUGUAAGAAUAAGGACCGGCUAACUCCGUGCCAGCAGCCGCGGUAAUACGGAGGGUCCGAGCGUUAUCCGGAAUCAUUGGGUUUAAAGGGUCCGUAGGCGGUUUAAUAAGUCAGUGGUGAAAUCUGGUCGCUCAACGAUCAAACGGCCAUUGAUACUGUUAGACUUGAAUUAUAAGGAAGUAACUAGAAUAUGUAGUGUAGCGGUGAAAUGCUUAGAUAUUACAUGGAAUACCAAUUGCGAAGGCAGGUUACUACUUAUGGAUUGACGCUGAUGGACGAAAGCGUGGGGAGCGAACAGGAUUAGAUACCCUGGUAGUCCACGCCGUAAACGAUGGAUACUAGCUGUUCGGAGCAAUCUGAGUGNGUAGACGAAGUAGAGUAAGUAUACCACCGUACGGAGGUACGUUCGUCGAGAAGAGAACGACGAAAGUAGUAAGUUAGUACGGUAGGAGACGUAGACCGAACGGACGACGACGAGGGAGGAGGNGG